ACGCACGCAUGCAUGCAUGCACACCCACACGCACACACUGAAGUGGGGAGAGAUGCUGUGUUUUUCUUUGCACAAACCAAUCUACGCAAAGUAACAGGCAGCCUGUGUGUGUGUGUGUGUGUGUGUGUGUGUGUGUGUGU